rnacentral:lncRNA from 1 species
UCAACACUGGAAAUAUUAACCUAAACCAAGCCCUCAAAAUAAUCAAAUCCAUUAAUCCUGACGCAACUGUUAGGGCAAGUAUUGCCCGAAACCAAAUUGAUCCUUGUAACAUGAAUAAAACAACAGAUUUGUUUGAAGAUAGUGACAAGGACGACGAUGAUGCAGACUAUUAUGAUAUAACUGCAUUUUAAAGUACAACAACCACAUAUUGUUCAAUUUUUGGUUCCUUCUAUUUUGCAGUUGAUGUGUCAAGAUACGAAUGCCCGAUAUGUUUGAAUAUCUUAAGGGAAAAAACACUUGUAUUUUUAUUAGUACUAAAGUUUACAUAAAAAGUAAAGUAGAGUCUUUUUGUUUUUCUAUGAAUGGAGACUCUUUUGAAAUCUUUACGAUAGAAGAAAUUGAAGUUAUCAUGGAUAUUAAAAAUUACUUUCAUGUUCCAAUAGAAUUUGAUGUCAAAUUGAAAAUUGACAAAUAACUUGAGUGGCAUAUCUAUUGAUAUAAAGGAUUAUAGUAAUUCCUGUAUAGCAGUUCAAAUCGCUGAGAACCAGUCCAUUCAAUUCAAGAAUACAAAUUGUACUAAGAACUUACAAUUUGCCUGUAUUCUACGUCCAUAUCUCUGUAAAAGCUCUACUAUUUUUGGCUCACCCGAUUGUCCCAAAGGUUUUUGGAAGGAUGGAAAUACUUGCAUCUUCAUAAGUGGGACUAAAUAUUCGAAGAAAAUAUAUUCUGAUACCUGUAAGCAAAUGAAUGGAAGUACACUUCAAAUCAAGAAGAAAUAAUAUCUAUCAGUCAUUUCAUCUAUUCUCCGAUUUCAACAAAAUCUAGUACCGAAAACGUUUCAUAUUGAUGUAGAUCCUUUUCAAACAGAUAUGAAUUACCUGUCAAGACAGUUGGAAGGAUCUGAAAAUAUAUUGAUCGACACAACAAAUGAGGGACAGUGUCUUAUGAUUUCCAUGGCGGAAAAAAGCACAAUUUUCAAAAGUGAAUGUGACCGAGAGGCAAAUAUAAUUUCUGUUAAAAAUCUACCCAUGUGUCCCUAUAGAAAAAGUACAGAAAAACCGACCAAUCAACUACUUCUACCCGAAAAAGCUUAUUAUAUUGGACAAUAUUCUGGUCUCGUAAGAAAAUGGAUAGAUACAUUUUUUAGUGAUUUAAAUGAAGACAAGGCAUAUAAUGAACUUUUUUAUCUCUUAUGGUUUGACAAAAUGCCCUGUUUUGAUGU